CAGUCGCCGCGGUAAUACGUAGGUGGCAAGCGUUGUCCGGAAUUAUUGGGCGUAAAGGGCUCGCAGGCGGUUUCUUAAGUCUGAUGUGAAAGCCCCCGGCUCAACCGGGGAGGGUCAUUGGAAACUGGGAAACUUGAGUGCAGAAGAGGAGAGUGGAAUUCCACGUGUAGCGGUGAAAUGCGUAGAGAUGUGGAGGAACACCAGUGGCGAAGGCGACUCUUUGGUCUGUAACUGACGCCGAGGAGCGAAAGCGUGGGGAGCGAACAGGAUUAGAUACCCACGUAGUCCCUGUCUCUUAUAA
rnacentral:rRNA from 1 species